rnacentral:rRNA from 1 species
UGAGGAAUAUUGGUCAAUGGGCGGGGAGGCCUGAACCAGCCAAGUCGCGUGAGGGAAGACGGUCCUAUGGAUUGUAAACCUCUUUUGUCGGGGAGCAAAGAGGCCACGUGUGGUCAAAAGCGAGAGUACCCGAAGAAAAGCAUCGGCUAACUCCGUGCC